CCUACGGGAGGCGGCAGUGAGGAAUAUUGGUCAAUGGGCGCGAGCCUGAACGAGCCAAGCAGCGUGAAGGAUGACUGCUCUACGGGUUGUAAACUUCUUUUAUGAAGGAAUAAAGUCGGGAGCGUGUGCCUUUUUGUGUGUACUUUAUGAAAAAGGAUCGGCUAACUCCGUGCAGGCAGCUGCGGUACUACGUAGGGUCCGAGCGUUAUCCGGAUUGAUUGGGGUUAAAGGGAGCGUAGAUGGGGUGGUAAGUCCGGUGGUAAAGUUCGCGGUUCAACCGUGAAAUUGCAUUUGAUACUGGCAGUCUUGAGUACAGUUGAGGUAGGCGGAAUUCGUGGUGUAGCGGUGAAAUGCUUAGAUAUCACGAAGAACGCCGAUUGCGAAGGCAGCUUACUAAACUGCCACUGACAUUGAUGCUCGAAAGUGUGGGUAUCAAACAGGAUUAGAUACCCCGGUAGUC
rnacentral:rRNA from 1 species